CACGUAGGGCGCAAGCGUUUGUCCCGGAAUUAUUGGGCGUAAAGAGCUCGUAGGCGGUUUGUCGCGUCGACUGUGAAAGCCCGGGGCUCAACUCCGGGUCUGCAGUCGAUACGGGCAGACUAGAGUUCGGUAGGGGGAGACUGGAAUUCCUGGUGUAGCGGUGAAAUGCGCAGAUAUCAGGAGGAACACCGGUGGCGAAGGCAGGUCUCUGGGGCCGAUACUGACGCUGAGGAGCGAAAGCGUGGGGGAGCGAACAGG
rnacentral:rRNA from 1 species